AAACUUGAUGCAGGUCAAGCCUGCACCCGCCUUGCGCGCCCGGUUCCGGGCGCUAUUGACCUCGGUCAAUUUCCUCCCCCGAACCAUUCGCUACCUUAAGCCCAUCGGACAGGUUCAGGCGAAUGGAGGCCGACAUGUUCUUCGAUAAUGUGGUUAUCGCUGGAGUGAUUACGGUCGGUCUGAUGCUGAUGUUCUUCGUCGGAUUCGGAAUAUUCAUCUGGAAAGACUCGAACAAGCGCAAAGAGCGCUGAUCCUUUCCAGUCACGAGCACGCAAGGCAUUUAGGGCGACUUCGGUCGCCCAUU
rnacentral:misc_RNA from 1 species